AGUCAGGAGCGCUUCAGGACCGUUGCCCUCCGACUGCUGAGAGUCCAAGGAAGAAGCAAGCUGACGGGGAGAUUUCCAGGGUGAAUCGGACGGGAAAUGUGGCCAACCCCACCCGGGAAUCCAACUGUAAUGCUGACUUGACAAACUAACAUUUGUAUCUGGAUCUGAAUGAUAGUUCCACGGGAGCCCAAACUUUGAAACAGAUGUCUAACGGUUUUAAAGAAUUCCAAGUCACGUCUUCAGAUCGGACAGCACACGGCCUUGAAGACCUCAAGUGGAGAAAAGCAGGAGAUGUUUCGCAUGAAGCAAUUUUCUCCU